rnacentral:sRNA from 1 species
ACCAAACAGCAAAACAAGAAGAACAACAACACUAAGCAAAAAAGAAAAGCUCAAGCCGAGAGAGACAAUGGCAUCAACAUUCACGAGCUCAAGCAGUGUUCUUACCCCAACAACAUUCCUUGGCCAGACUAAAGCCUCAAGCUUUAACCCCCUUCGUGAUGUUGUCUCUCUCGGAUCUCCCAAGUACACUAUGGUCUGUUUUCUUUUUGGUCUUAAUCUCGUCAUAUUAAAGGUGUUUCAUCUUUCUUCUUGAGUUUGUGUCUGACUUUCACGUAAAAUGUCUAUGUGAAGGGAAAUGAUCUUUGGUAUGGACCUGACAGAGUGAAGUACUUAGGACCCUUUUCCGUUCAAACUCCGUCUUACCUCACCGGAGAAUUCCCUGGCGAUUAUGGUUGGGACACCGCCGGUUUAUCCGCAGACCCUGAAGCCUUUGCCAAAAACAGAGCUCUUGAGGUUAGUCUCUAAAUCUCACUCACUCAAUGUAAAAA